UACGUAGGGGGCUAGCGUUGUCCGGAAUUACUGGGCGUAAAGGGCGCGUAGGCGGCACGGCAAGUCAGGAGUGAAAGCCCUGGGCUCAACCCGGGAACUGCUUUUGAAACUGCCGAGCUAGAGUGCGGAAGGGGCAACUGGAAUUCCCAGUGUAGCGGUGAAAUGCGUAGAUAUUGGGAAGAACACCUGAGGCGAAGGCGGGUUGCUGGGCCGACACUGACGCUGAGGCGCGAAAGCCAGGGGAGCGAACGGG
rnacentral:rRNA from 1 species